GACAAACUCCGAAUGCCAAUUAAUUUAACUUGGGAGUCAGAACAUGGGUGAUAAGGUCCGUGUUCGAAAGGGAAACAGCCCAGACCACCAGCUAAGGUCCCAAAAUAUAUGUUAAGUGGAAAAGGAUGUGGCGUUGCCCAGACAACUAGGAUGUUGGCUUAGAAGCAGCCAUCAUUUAAAGAGUGCGUAAUAGCUCACUAGUCGAGUGACACUGCGCCGAAAAUGUACCGGGGCUAAACAUAUUACCGAAGCUGUGGAUUGUCCUUUGGACAAUGGUAGGAGAGCGUUCUAAGGGCGUUGAAGCAUGAUCGUAAGGACAUGUGGAGCGCUUAGAAGUGAGAAUGCCGGUGUGAGUAGCGAAAGACGGGUGAGAAUCCCGUCCACCGAUUGACUAAGGUUUCCAGAGGAAGGCUCGUCCGCUCUGGGUUAGUCGGGUCCUAAGCUGAGGCCGACAGGCGUAGGCGAUGGAUAACAGGUUGAUAUUCCUGUACCACCUAUAAUCGUUUUAAUCGAUGGGGGGACGCAGUAGGAUAGGCGAAGCGUGCGAUUGGAUUGCACGUCUAAGCAGUAAGGCUGAGUAUUAGGCAAAUCCGGUACUCGUUAAGGCUGAGCUGUGAUGGGGAGAAGACAUUGUGUCUUCGAGUCGUUGAUUUCACACUGCCGAGAAAAGCCUCUAGAUAGAAAAUAGGUGCCCGUACCGCAAACCGACACAGGUAGUCAAGAUGAGAAUUCUAAGGUGAGCGAGCGAACUCUCGUUAAGGAACUCGGCAAAAUGACCCCGUAACUUCGGGAGAAGGGGUGCUCUUUAGGGUUAACGCCCAGAAGAGCCGCAGUGAAUAGGCCCAAGCGACUGUUUAUCAAAAACACAGGUCUCUGCUAAACCGUAAGGUGAUGUAUAGGGGCUGACGCCUGCCCGGUGCUGGAAGGUUAAGAGGAGUGGUUAGCUUCUGCGAAGCUACGAAUCGAAGCCCCAGUAAACGGCGGCCGUAACUAUAACGGUCCUAAGGUAGCGAAAUUCCUUGUCGGGUAAGUUCCGACCCGCACGAAAGGCGUAACGAUUUGGGCACUGUCUCAACGAGAGACUCGGUGAAAUCAUAGUACCUGUGAAGAUGCAGGUUACCCGCGACAGGACGGAAAGACCCCGUGGAGCUUUACUGUAGCCUGAUAUUGAAAUUCGGCACAGCUUGUACAGGAUAGGUAGGAGCCUUUGAAACGUGAGCGCUAGCUUACGUGGAGGCGCUGGUGGGAUACUACCCUAGCUGUGUUGGCUUUCUAACCCGCACCACUUAUCGUGGUGGGAGACAGUGUCA
rnacentral:rRNA from 1 species